rnacentral:rRNA from 1 species
GGUGCUGCAUGGCUGUCGUCAGCUCGUGUCGUGAGAUGUUGGGUUAAGUCCCGUAACGAGCGCAACCCUUGUCCUUAGUUACCAGCACGUUAUGGUGGGCACUCUAAGGAGACUGCCGGUGACAAACCGGAGGAAGGUGGGGAUGACGUCAAGUCAUCAUGGUCCUUACGGCCUGGGCUACACACGUGCUACAAUGGUCGGUACAAAGGGUUGCCAAGCCGCGAGGUGGAGCUAAUCCCAUAAAACCGAUCGCAGUCCGGAUCGCAGUCUGCAACUCGACUGCGUGAAGUCGGAAUCGCUAGUAAUCGUGAAUCAGAAUGUCACGGUGAAUACGUUCCCGGGCCUU